rnacentral:rRNA from 1 species
GAUGAACGCUGGCGGCGUGCUUAACACAUGCAAGUCGAACGAUGAAGCCCAGCUUGCUGGGUGGAUUAGUGGCGAACGGGUGAGUAACACGUGAGUAACCUGCCCUUAACUCUGGGAUAAGCCUGGGAAACUGGGUCUAAUACCGGAUAGGAGCGUCCACCGCAUGGUGGGUGUUGGAAAGAUUUAUCGGUUUUGGAUGGACUCGCGGCCUAUCAGCUUGUUGGUGAGGUAAUGGCUCACCAAGGCGACGACGGGUAUCCGGCCUGAGAGGGUGACCGGCCACACGGGGACUGAGACACGGCCCAGACUCCUACGGGAGGCAGCAGUGGGGAAUAUUGCACAAUGGGCGCAAGCCUGAUGCAGCGACGCCGCGUGAGGGAUGACGGCCUUCGGGUUGUAAACCUCUUUCAGUAGGGAAGAAGCGAAAGUGACGGUACCUGCAGAAGAAGCACCGGCUAACUACGUG